UCCAUCUUUCUCUUCUGAAUCUUCUUCUCUUUUCCUUUUAUUCUUUUUGUUUCUUCCUUCAUGCAGGCGAUUCCAGCUCCAUGUCCGCAAGUUGCUGAGGACGAGUUUUUACCACAGCACAUUGACCUCAGGUAUUUCCUUCUUUUUUCCUUUUUUUUUCUUUCACGACAGCUUGGUAUCUAAUUUUUUUUAACCUUCAUUUUCUCUGCGAGUAUUUUCCGCUAUGGCCGAAGAAUUUGUGAAUGGCUUUGUUCAUCAAAAUGACAUUGCUGUUCAGAUUCAAAAUAGAAAGUAAAUUAGGUGACUGAUGAAAUUUCCAAAAUAGGUACUUGCAUACACAAAAAAUUGGUACUUCCAUGAGGGUCACAGAUGAUUAAAGUUCAAUUUCAUUAUUUAAUCUCUUAUUCUCUUUCAGGGAGAUUCACCAGCAUAGAUACAGAUUUAAAUGUCUUGAAGAAGAGGAUAGAGACGCUGCAUUUGUAAUAACCUUGAGUUCUUUUGAUAAAAUUUAUGUUCAAAAACCUUGGACGGGUUGCUGGUGUUCUUUUUCCUAUUACUUUAUUCUUUGAAAUUAAUGUUACUAUUAUUCAAUAUUUGAUGCUUGUCCUUAUACUGCAAAAUUUGUGUGUAACUGCAGCACAUCAGCCUAUUAAAGAGAUAUUAGAAAA